UUCCAGAGCCAUAUCUCCCUGCAGUUCUCCCCUGGUUUCCCUCUGAAGCUAAGCAGGGUUGAACCUGGCCACUACCUUCAUGAGAGACCUCUUAGGGAAAACUAUGGUUGGUUCUGGAAA
rnacentral:rRNA from 1 species